rnacentral:tRNA from 1 species
GUAGUGAUGGUUCAGCGGUAGACUUCUCGCUUUCCAUGCAGGAGACCUGGGUUCAAUUCCCAGCCAGUGCA